GGGGCAUGUGGCGCGACUUCGCGAUUCCCUCGGAAUCUAGAGGAUUCCGCACCCGGAUCUUUCCGGUGCCAGCCCGGAUGCUUCG
rnacentral:tRNA from 1 species